rnacentral:rRNA from 1 species
UCGGGAAUAUUGGACAAUGGGCGCAAGCCUGAUCCAGCGAUGCCGCGUGUGUGAAGAAGGCCUGCGGGUUGUAAAGCACUUUAGUUGGGGAGGAAAGGUAUGUACUGCAUAAGUGCAUGCUGUGACGUUACCCAAAGAAUAAGCACCGGCAAACUCUGUGCCAGCAGCCGCGGUAAUACAGAGGGUGCAAGCGUUGUUCGGAUUUACUGGGCGUAAAGGGCGCGUAGGCGGCAUGACAAGUCACUUGUGAAAUCUCUGGGCUUAACCCAGAACGGCCAAGUGAUACUGUCGCGCUAGAGUGCAGAAGGGGCAAUCGGAAUUCUUGGUGUAGCGGUGAAAUGCGUAGAUAUCAAGAGGAACACCUGAGGUGAAGACGGGUUGCUGGGCUGACACUGACGCUGAGGCGCGAAAGCCAGGGGAGCAAACGGGAUUAGAUACCCAAGUAGUCCCUGAGCGGGCUGGCAAGGCGCAU